GAUGAACGCUAGCGAUAGGCCUAACACAUGCAAGUCGAGGGGCAGCAUAGAUGUAGCAAUACAUUUGAUGGCGACCGGCGCACGGGUGAGUAACACGUAUGCAACCUACCCUUUACAAGGGGAUAGCCCGAAGAAAUUCGGAUUAAUACCCUAUACCACUUAUGAAUCGCCUGAUUCUACAGUGAAAGAAUUUUGGUAAAGGAUGGGCCUGCGUUCAAUUAGCUAGUUGGUAAGGUAACGGCUUACCAAGGCAACGAUGGAUAGGGGAACUGAGCGGUUUAUCCCCCACACUGGAACUGAGACACGGACCAGACUCCUACGGGAGGCAGCAGUGAGGAAUAUUGGUCAAUGGACGAGAGUCUGAACCAACCAAAUCGCGUGAAGGAUUACAGCCCUACGGGUUUUAAACUUCUUUUAUAAGAGAGUACACCACAUUACGUGUAAUGUGCAGCAAGUAUCUUAAGAAAAAGCAUCGGCUAACUCCGUGCCAGCAGCCGCGGUAAGAC
rnacentral:rRNA from 1 species